CGAGUGACCACUCACGAAAGUGAGCUUCCGCAAGGACACUCGUAGAGGUGCUGCAUGGCUGUCGUCAGCUCGUGUCGUGAGAUGUUGGGUUAAGUCCCGCAACGAGCGCAACCCUUGUUUGCUGUUGCCAUCAGGUUAUGCUGGGCACUCUGCAAAGACUGCCGGUGAUAAACCGGAGGAAGGUGGGGAUGACGUCAAGUCAGCAUGGCCUUUAUGUCUGGGGCCACACACGUGCUACAAUGGCCGACACAAACCGUCGCGAUACCGUAAGGUGGAGCUAAUCGGAGAAAGUCGGUCUCAGUUCGGAUCGUAGGCUGCAACUCGCCUGCGUGAAGUUGGAAUCGCUAGUAAUCGCGGAUCAGCACGCCGCGGUGAAUACGUUCCCGGGCCUUGUACACACCGCCCGUCACAUCACGAAAGCCGGUUGUACUAGAAGUCGCCAUACCAACCCGCAAGGGAGGGAGGCGCCUAAGGUAUGGUCGGUGAUUGGGGUGAAGUCGUAACAAGGUAGGCGUAGUGCU
rnacentral:rRNA from 1 species